UGCAAUAGCUCAGUUGGUAAAGCAUGAGACUCUUACUUAAUCUCAGGGUCAUGGGUCUGAGCCCCACAUUGGGCAA